GUAGCCAAGGCAACAGGUUGCUUCUGCCGUCCGCACUGAGCGCCUUUCGCAGGACUUGGGGUUACUGUAUUUCUGGUACCCCGGUACCCCCACGUGAGCAAGCCCACAGCAACACACAUUUACACACACCCUUCAGCACCCCCUCUCAGCACCGCGACCAUGGACGAUGACUAUGAAGCGUACCACAGUCUGUUCUUGUCGCUGCUCGGACUCUGCCCGUCUAAGACUUCCUUCAAUGAAAAUGCCAACAGUGUCUCCGUCUUUGAUCCUGAACUGGUCACUGGCCACUGCUUCAAGCAGUUCAAGCAGAAGGACCUCCGCCUGCCUCAGAGCCGCCGGCGAAUCAUCGUGGUGCCUCGCAAGGAGGAUCAGAUACCCAUUAAUCCUGCACCCCAACCUCAGGCCCCUCCAAAGCCCAUCCCCAGCUUCAAAGUCCAAGAAGCUAGAGAUAUCCAAGAGCAGCCAGAGGACAGGAAGACCUGGCUGAGCCGGAGGGCAAAGCUGCGGCAGGAGCUGGAGUCCUUUGGCGAUGUAAAGAGGUGGCUGGAGAACAAGCCUAGCAUCACGCCUUCGGAGGCCAAGGUCUUACACAUGAUCCUCAAGGAGCACAGUGGAUCCCUGCCAGAUGCCUCCCUGGCGACUACCAGGACCACCAGGAAAGCCCCCUGGCUCUCCCACCUGCCGGUGCCCCAGCUCCAGCUGCCCAAGCCCCCUGCCCUGUCGGCCAUGUACUCCUACCUGCACCGUCGCAAGAUGAAGAUCCUGGAGAUACUUCACAAGGUGGGCCAGGACAAGAACCAGAGAAUCACCAGGGAGGAGUUCAUCAUGGCUGUCAAGGCAGCCGGAGUCCCUCUGAAGAACCAGGAAGUGGAGGAUGUGGUGAUCUAUCUCAGCUCUCUUGGGAAGCACAACACCAUCACCAUGGAUAUCCUGGCCAAAACCUAUAAGCAGUGGUCUAUGGCUCGGCGAAGGAGCAGCCUGGCCACUGCCAGGGAGCGUCAUAUCUUGGCCAAGCACAAAGGUUCCCUGAAGAGUCUGCUCAAGAAGCAGGAGGUAGAUUCAGCCCCACAGCUUCCCAAGGUGGACCUGCUGACGGUGCCUGCAGUCGACACGCAGAUGGAGGCGCGGCCCAUGACCCUGGAGGAGAUGGAGGAAGUGGGCAAGCGCUACCGCGAGCAGCAGCGACAGCUCAAGCUCACGAUCCCCUCCAUCCAAUACACGGAGCAGUGCCGCAUGGUGCGCUGUGGGAAUCAGCACUUUGACGAGCACUGCCUCCCAUCCACCAUCCACGGGGACAUGAAGGAGCUCAUCGACUCAACCCGCAGGCACACCUUUCUGGUCUACCUGCAAUGCUGGAAGCUCUGUGAGUCCUAUGGCAUCCCGCUGACGGAGGACAUCCUCAUGAAAGCCUUGCUGUACCCAGGAGACAAGAUCAUUUUCCAGAAGGACGAGGUGCGCCCUAUCCGGCAGCCGGGAGGCUACUACUCUGACUGGAAGGUCUUUUCUCCAAAUGUGGCUCUGCUCCAGUCCCAGGGCGCUGGCGAGUCUAAGACUGACAAGCUGAGUUUCGGACCCCCUUUCUCCCUGCCCUGGCCUCCUGCCCCGUUGCCGUCCCUUCAGUGUGGGGACUGGAGGCUGCCAUACCUGGGGCUCCAUGCCGUGCCCAUGUACACGUCCUAGGGCAGCAUCCCCCACCUGACUGCUCACUGCAGACUGGCCAGUCCCGAGUCACCUUUGGUGCAUGUCUCAGGAUCACAGCCUGCUGGCCUCAGCUCCCACACAGCUACCCUCCUGACCCCAGUCCUGUACAAUCACAAGGUUUCUGGAAAAGAUGAAAAGGAGGGCCUUCUUAGAGAACAGGGCUGGAGUAAGGGCCUUUGCAAAUCCCCAACUAAAGGUCAGGGCCCUGCAGAGAACAGCGGGGCAGCCCUUUCUCGGCCCUGCCACCUUGCCUCUGACACCCCCCUUCUCUGGCAAGAGGUGGGCUUGCAGCUCCUGGGAGGAGAAAGGAACAUUUCCCUGGGCCCUGUCCCUAGCCCUUCCGGAGACCAGCCUGAGUCCUCUUUAAGAAAAUGGCCUCCUUUGGUACUCCAAAGCCUAAGCUUCCCAGAUUUGAGUCAAGCAGCAGGUGACAACCCGUGGGCAGCAUCAGUGGGUGACUGCAGAGGACCAAGGCAGCAUCCCUGCAGAGGGAGGGGCCCAGCAAGGGAGGAGGAGAGCCCAGCUGGCCGGAUACCAUGAGGUGGAGGGGCCUGGACCUGCCCCUGCCUCUAGACCCCUGCCAGCUGCCCUGUGUGUGGCCAGAAUGCCUGCGGUGGGAUGCAGCAGGGCCUUGUAGAGAUCAGACAGCCCUCUGGUUAAAUGGAUAAAGCACUUCCCUGAGCCUCAGCAUCUUCAUGUGUAAAGGGGCCUAGCCGCUCCUACUAUAGACUAAGAGGAUCAGAUGACAAAGAGUGUCAAGAUCUUAGCAGUGACAGCACUCCAUCAAUGAUAGUCGUUAUUUUACCUUGCUCUGGUCCGGGUAGGCCCGACGCUGUUCUCAAGGGCAGGAAUAGGCCCAGGCCUGCAGGUGGGUCCCGGCCACAAAAUUGGCUGUGACUGCCUUCCAGCCCCCAGAUGACCCAGGAAGUGGCUGGCAAUCUAGGAAGGAGAUUUUGGUCCAUGCUUAGGUAAGUUAUAGCUAAUAAAGGAUAAAGAGAGGUCUCCUAGGUCAAGGAGAGACCGCCACUAUUUAGGGUUAUGGAAAAUUCUGAGGCCAGAUGGAGGCUCGAUGGAAGAGUGUGGUGAACGAUUAGUGAUGUCUGUGAGGCUCGGGGUUGUGAGGUGGUGUGGGAGGGGGUUAGAUUUCACCGCCUUUGUCCUCAGGGCUGGGUUAAGCUCUGGAGUGGGGAGUGGGAGCCAGGGACCCCAAAAGGAUUCAGCAGUGACUGAGGGAGCCUCUCUCAUGACUACCCUGAGAGCUCUCUGUUGUCAGCCAUGAGAGAACCGAGGAUGAGAAGGGAAAGUCACUUGCCCAGGUCACCCGGCCAGAUUCUGAGGCUAGGUCCGACUGCCCCAAGCCCACUGUGUUCCCUGGAGCCAGCACGGAGUCAGGGCCCACCCCAGGUGAAAGACGUUUUUCUUUCAGUGCUCUGCUUUGAGACUUAGAAAUGGGCCCACCCCUGCGGCCCCUGACCCACUCCCUAAAGCCCCAGUGGCCUGGAUUUCCACUCUCCUCACAAAAUGCCUCUCUCUCCUCCACUAGGAAAACGCCAAAGAAAAUCAAGAAAAUGCAGUUUAAGGAGUUUGAGGAAUUUACCAGGAAGCUGAAGGCGAAGAGGGCCAGUGGUCUGCAGCAAACGCACCCCAACUCCUUCUGGCCGGGUCACCUUCUGGAUAAGCUGCAGCUCUACUUGCCCACUGUGGCCACAGACCGCAGCCUGGCGCUCUUCAGCUGUGUUCAACACCAGCCCCAUGUCUACCCAGCCACCUACCACCCCGACCACUGGUGGCCCCUUCGGAACAAGAACUACAUGACCCGCGCCUAUUUUGAUGCCGCCAAGGUGUACUACAUCAACUAGAAUGGGCCGGAUGUUGCUGGACCUGGCCUUCCUGGGCCAGGGGCCAGUGCAGACAGCGGCCCAGAGCCCAGACACAGGAGGAGUGUCAAACAGUCAGACGAAAGAAAUCCUUUCAGUGGGAUGCCACAGGCCAGUUCCCUCUGGAUUCAGUGUCCAGUGUCUCAGACGGUAGAUGUGUCCAAGGAAGGACGUGCAGUUUUUGACUAUUUCCCUCCCCUGAACUUUCCCCUUUCUAAAUAAAGCAGGUUGGAGUUUUUCUCA